AUGAUCAUACUUAAUAGGAUCAUUCUAUAGCUCGAUUGCCGGUUUCUCGCCGAGAUCUCGGAAUAAUGUUCAAAACACGGAUGAGGCUGUUAGUGUAAAUCCUCUGAGCGGAGGCAGCCCGUAAGUGUUUGGCUUGAGAAUUUUGAUGACCGUUCUGACUCGGUUUACGAUGUUGAGAGGAGGAUCACACAGCUGAGUGGU